GCGAACGCUGGCGGCAGGCCUAAUACAUGCAAGUCGAACGGACCCUUCGGGGUUAGUGGCGGACGGGUGAGUAACACGUGGGAACGUGCCCUUUGGUUCGGAAUAACUCAGGGAAACUUGAAUUAAUACCGAAUGUGCCCUUCGGGGAAGGAUUAUCGCCAUUGGAGCGGCCCGCGUCUGAUUAGCUAGUUGGUGGGGUAAAGGCCCACCAAGGCUACGAUCAGUAGCUGGCCUGAGAGGAUGAUCAGCCACACUGGGACUGAGACACGGCCCAGACUCCUACGGGAGGCAGCAGUAGGGAAUCUUGCGCAAUGGGCGAAAGCCUGACGCAGCCAUGCCGCGUGAAUGAUGAAGGUCUUAGGAUUGUAAAAUUCUUUCAGCGGGGACGAUAACGACGGUACCCGCAGAAGAAGCCCCGGCUAAC
rnacentral:rRNA from 1 species